GAAUAUUGGACAAUGGGCGAAAGCCUGAUCCAGCCAUGCCGCGUGGAUGAAGAAGGCCCUAGGGUUGUAAAGUCCUUUCGGCGGGGAAGAUAAUGACGGUACCCGCAGAAGAAGCCCCGGCUAAUUUCGUGCCAGCAGCCGCGGUAAUACGAAAGGGGCUAGCGUUGUUCGGAAUUACUGGGCGUAAAGCGCACGUAGGCGGACUAUUAAGUCAGGGGUGAAAUCCCGGGGCUCAACCCCGGAACUGCCUUUGAUACUGGUAGUCUUGAGUUCGAGAGAGGUGAGUGGAAUUCCGAGUGUAGAGGUGAAAUUCGUAGAUAUUCGGAGGAACACCAGUGGCGAAGGCGGCUCACUGGCUCGAUACUGACGCUGAGGUGCGAAAGCGUGGGGAGCAAACAGG
rnacentral:rRNA from 1 species